GUGCCGCCUUCCUGGCCGCUGGAUCUCACUGCAGACCUCAUCCGCACAGAGCUGGCUUCGCAUGCUGGGACAGGCGUGUCCCAGUCGCUCUGGGGUAUGAGGCUGCCGUCUCCCCCUCGCCUGGUUUAGCCCUCCCGCUGAAACGGUGUACCAGGGUGUGGCUGCCGUCACAUGCAAAUAGCGAGUUCCAGAAAUUAGUUUAGCUCAAGACUGUGGGCUAAAGGGCCUGUUCCUGGAUGAUCUGUGUUCUGACUAAGCCUGGCCUUUUGCUACUUGGAGCCACAGGUGAGAGAAUCGCAGGUGGUGAUGAAGAUGCUUGGCAGAGUGAGCUAGACCGAGUGGUCGAGUGGUGACACAGCAGCAAUGUCAGGAAGACCAAUGCAUUGAUUGGGCACUUUGGGAAGCGGAAGUCGAGCGAGCACACUUCACCCCUCAUUGAGGGAUAAGCAGUGGAAAAGACGCUGCCUGAUUUACUGAAUAUUUCAAGACUUUACUAGAUUUUACUUCAGGAUUUCAGCAGUUUCUUUUUUCUGUGGUUCGCUUUGAAUAUUUGAACAUCACUGGAAAGGUUAAAUUUAAUUCCCAUCCCUAAAUGCCCUUGAGAAGAUGGUGAUAAACAAUCUUCUUGAAACCUUGGCCAUGCUUCAGGUGAACGUGUUCUGACAGUGCUGUUCAACUUCGAGUUUACUGUUAUCUGAUUGUGCAUAUAUAUAGCCAAAUGAAACAAUAUUCCUCUGGACCAUAGUGCAGCCACAAAACAUGCAUCACACUCAAAAUUCAAAGUUUGAAGUAAAUUUAUUAUCUGUACAUUUCUGUUACCAUAUACAACCCUGGUGUUCAUUUUCUUGUGGGCAUACUGAAUGCAUCUAUAGAAUAGUAACUAGGACAGAAUCACUGAAAGACCGCGCAACUUGGGCUUUCAACCAGAGUGCAGAAGACAACAAACUGUGCAAAUACAAAAAGAAAUAAUAAUAAUAAUAAUAAUAAGCAAUAAAUAUUGAGAACAUAAGAUGAAGAGUUCUUCACAGCGAGUCCAUUGGUGUGGGAAUAGCUCAAUGACGGGGCAAGUGAAGUUGAGUGAAGUUAUCCCCUUUAGUUCUAGAGCCUGAUGAUUGGUGGGUAAUAACCGUUCCUGAACCUGGUGGUGUGUAUCACCUUCUUGAUGGCAGAAGGAAGAAGAGAGCGUGUCCUGUGUGGUGGGGGGUCCCUGAUGAUGGAUGCUGCUUUCCUUUGACAGUGUUUCAUGUAGAUGUGCUCAAUGGUGGGGAGGGCUUUACCCAUGAUGGACUGGGCUGUAUCUGCUUUUUUUUAUAUAGUGGAUACAUAAAAUAUAACCAUGAGUAAGUUAUUAAAAUAUAAUUCAAAGUGCAUGUAGUGCACAGCACUGGUAAGCAGCAAACAGUUAACAGCUCGCUGUCCAAGUUACAAGACCUCAGGAGUUCCAGAUUUAGAUCUAGCGAUGAAAGACCGAUGAGAUAUGAAUAAACAACACAGACAAAAUGCUGGUGGAACACAGCAGGCCAGGCAGCAUCUAUAGGUAGAAGUGCUGUCUACGUUUCGGGCCGAGACCCUUCGUCAGGACAUAAUGAAUAAACUCUGCUCGGUCUUCCAGCCGGGUACAGGUUUUGAUUUUAACCGAGGUUUCGAUGACAAGCGUCUAGGCAUGUCUAGUUUGAAAGCAUAUAUACUCUCAUUAAAAAUUUUAACAACGACAAAGGUGUCACUCUAAGUAAGAACUGGGAUUCUAUUGUAAACAAGGUGGGACAGCGUAAACCUGAUUGGAUGAGGACUAACCAAUCAGGAGGGACGGAUGAUGGGGGUAUAAAUACCUCUGGACUAGACAGCAUCCCUGAUGAAGAUGACAGAGUUUGCCAUUGAAACGUCGGUUAAAAUCAAUACCUGUACCCAACUGGAAGCCCGAGAGGAGUCUAUUCAUCAUAUGCACUAGGUCCUUUUUCAAAGACCGGUGAGAUGCUUCUAAACCCAUGUAGUGUGCGACUUGGGAGGCGAAGUUCCCAUGCAUUUUGAAUUAGAAUCAGAGUCAGGGUUAUUAUUUAUUUAUUUUGAGAUACAGUGUGGAACAGGCCCUUUCGGCCAAACGAGACACACAGACCAACAAACCACCUACUUAGCCCGAGUCUAAUCACAGGACAAUUUACAAUGGCCAAUUAGUCUACUACUCAGAGCGUCCUUGCACCGUGGAAGGAAACCGGAGCAUCCAGAGGAAACCCACGCACUCAUGGAAAGAAUGUAGAAACUUUCUUAUAGAGGACGCUGGAACUGAACUUUGAACUCCAAUGCCCCAAGCUGUAAUAUCAUCACGCUUCCUGCUAUGCACCUUGGCUGUUAUCAUUGACUUGACAUACAUUGUGAAAACAUAUAUAUAUAUAUAAAAUGUAAUGCAAGAUGAGUGAGGUAGUGUUCAUGGGUUCAUGGACCAUUCAGAAAUCUGAUGGUGUAGGUGGGUGUGUGUCUUUAGGCU